CACUUCCAAAAAAAAAACAUGGAAAUACAUACGACAUCAACACCAAAUAGCACAGCACCAGAAUGAAUGCGGAAGUUGUCACGAGUGAUGUGGCAUUGUUCCUGUUCAUUUAUGGUUUACAGAUUCCAAAAGUCUGAACCAGAUAUGAGUAGAGUACAGUUUGAGAAAUGUCUUCAACUCUUAGUAGAACAGAUACUAAGGAAAUACAUGUAAUAAAGAGCAGAACAUACCACAUUUCUCCUUCUUAUAACUGGUAAAGUUCCAAGUAAGGGCGAGUACAAUAAUGCAGCCCCAGUGAGAGUUCGUGAUGAGGUGUCAACUGUAAAUGUGUGGUCGUUAAAUGAUGUGCAGUCAGAUUGACAAGUAUUUGAAGUAACAUUAAUUUAUAAAUUAUCAGUUCUGAGAGAAAUUUUUGCUGAACUAUGUGCAGGAUACUCUUAAAAAGUACAUGAACCAGAAUUUUAUAUUAUAAGUACAAUGUCAGAUGUACUCAAGACUUCACACACAUGUUGAUGUUUAUACAUAUGUGGUGAUUAAUUUGUCAAGUGAAGAAAUUUUAGGAAUAAUGUUUGUGGGUGACAUAACAGAAGUACAAAGUCAAUUACAGUAACAGAGGUCGACAAGACUGAGAUUAGGAUACAGAAAAAUCCGGUGAUUCUGACGAAACAACAUACAUAGAAAGAUUAUACUAGUAAAAUGAAAACUUUUAGUGUAUGGAAAAGUUUGGAAACAGGUUUACCAUUGACAGAAGAGACAGUAUUUACAGACUGGUCUACACUUAUUUUUUAUUUGACUUUUACACAGUGAUUCCUCCAGUAAACAGCUAGUGAUCUGAGAGAAUUGUGUUCAUUAUAAUAUAAUGAACACAAUUUAUAUCAUACAGGUUUAGAGGGAAUGUAAAAUUAAUGUGCAUUUAAAUCAAUCAAAAUUUUUCAAAAUUGGAUGUUGAAACCUUACAACUGUUUAGUAUUUCAGUAAUCAGUUAGGAUUUUUGAGUGAUUUCAAUAAAGUACAAAU
rnacentral:lncRNA from 1 species